rnacentral:lncRNA from 1 species
UUUUAAGAGGUGGGCAGUGCUGUCUGAUAAACCAAGCAUUGUUUAGCAGUCGAUACAACCUUGGCAGUGGUUAGCAGUCACCCUGCAAGUAAAGAAAAGCUUUUGCAAGUGCAGCCAGCUUCAAAUGAAAAGUGCAAAUGCUAUCCAACAGGGCAAGCUCCACGCAGAUCUAACAAGCCAGUCAUUUGAAGAAACUGUUUAUGAAAAAAAGAUUUUAAACUCUUAAUUUGAUGCUGUUGGCUAACAAACCCCACUUGGCAGUUCUCCUCCGCAUGGGAUAACGUUUGUUCCACAACUUUCCCACCCACUCGGUUUCGCUCGGGGUUUGAGUCGGUGGCAGGGCACAGAUCACAUCAGGAUGCUUGGCAGCUCCCAAAGCUCUGCGACUCGGCCGGAUGGCUGCAGCCCCGACACAGAAACAACACCUCAACUAAACAACAUGGGACUAGACUGCUGUCCGUGGGAGAGCCAUGGAAAACAGAGUCGCAAAGGGUGUUGUGAUAGCGAAAGAAGCCUCAUAGGUGCCUAGGAAGGCUGUGCUCACCCACCAGCUCCCACUUGCUCCAGGACACGUUUCAGGGGACCGAGCGGAUCUUGAGGAGGUGGAGGGUUCAGACCAUCAGGUGGAAUAGUGCCAAGACCACCAAGCUUCCAAACUCCAGAAUCCAGGUGCAUGGGCUCUCUGGAUUUAGAGGUACAACCCACGAGCACAUGCUCCUUUGCCCCCAACAGCAGUAAGAGCCCACACAACUCUGGGAACAGCCCUGCAGGACCGCGGCACCAGCCACACAGCUCACUCCCCACCCAAAUUUCCACGUGUUCUUUGAUCGUACCAGAAAGAACAGGACUAAAGACUUCUCUUAAAUGUCACCCAGCAGCACUGAAGACCCAGUUCUGGGAACUAAUAUUCCAGCUGUCAGUGUUGUGCUUAAAGAUGUCAUUGCCAUGCUAAAGACUCUGGAAUCAGAACUUAAUUAGCUGUUUUGUUUACAAUGAGCGAGGAAGACCAGACUUCUCUCAGUUACCAAAAAAAGAGGAAAAGAAAAAAGGCAGACAGAAAGAUCUAUUUAUGACAACAAAUUAAGUAGUGUUAACUCCAGAGACACACAGGGAAAGAGGAGAAAAUAGAACCGUGACUCUAUUUUUAAAGUCCCAGUUUCAUUGAAAUAAGCGUGCUUGGAACAUUACUUUACAAAAUAUCCAGACCAACUAGGAAUGACAUGGAAAAUCUGACUCACUAAAGGAGGGUCCUACUAAGACCUGAAGUUCGAAAAUAUUUUAAAGAACAAGGUCAGGAGGCUGGAAGCAUAGAUAAUUCGUGCACGGAGCCAUCCCUGUGUUUUCGGGCGGAUGGGGGUACCCCACUGCAGGAGUCCCCAGGGAGCCCACUUCAGCACAGCCCUUCCCUGCGAUGGGACCUGUGGCACUUCUCAUCCUUACACGGGGAAGCAGGAGUUGAGCAGCUGGCUAUACACAGAGCUAUGAUGUCCUGAAGAAAUGAAAACCCCACCUUCGUUGUGUAUUUCUGCUGUUUCGGGAACUGUGUACAAAUGUAUGUGAAACAAAAGCAGUCUGAAAUGCCCUACGGAUUGCGACUUACAGACACUCAGGCACGUGACUAACUUUCUCUCUGGGAGACAAGAUAAAUACAGAAACUGUUCAUGAGCCUAAAUAUUUGCAAUUCUGGGCCUUCUUUUCUUGCCAGCACCACUGGCAUCCCCAGCUCCUGCAGUCGCCUGUGCUUGCCUGCUUUUGCUGUCGCCCCGAGGGCUGCAUAGCCCACUGCCUACGUGAGACAAGGCUGUCACAGGCAUCUGACAUCCUGCAGCACAGCGCUGAAUCGAGUCGCCUGAUGGGUCAUUCUCU